rnacentral:rRNA from 1 species
GACGAACGCUGGCGGCGUGCUUAACACAUGCAAGUCGAACGGAAAGGCCCAGCUUUUGGGGUGUACUCGAGGGGAAAGGGGGUGUGACACACGAGUAUACCGUGCCCUAGACUGUGGGAUACCUUCAGGAAACUGGGUAUAAUCCCGGAGAGGCGCUCAUCGCGCGUGGGGGGGGGUGGAGAGUUUUGGCGGUUGGGGGUGGUCUCGCGGCAUAUCAGCUUGUUGGUGGGGUAGUGGCUUACCAAGGCCUCGACGGGUAGCCGGCCUGAGAGGGUGACCGGCCACACUGGGACUGAGAUACGGCCCAGACUCCUACGGGAGGCAGCAGUGGGGAAUAUUGCACAAUGGGCGGAAGCCUGAUGCAGCGACGCCGCGUGCGGGAUGACGGCCUUCGGGUUGUAAACCGCUUUCGCUAGGGAAGAAGCGAGAGUGACGGUACCGGGUGAAGAAGCACCGGCUAACUACGUG